GAUCGACUGGCCCAGUGGUCAAGGCGUCCGCUUUACAAACAAAUCGCGGAAGAUCGCAGGUUCGAACCCUGCGUUGAUCA
rnacentral:tRNA from 1 species